AUGGGGCCACCGCAGCCAGCCAAGGGCAUCAUCAGCAUCGAGGCCUGCGCGCGGCCGAUCGCCGUCGACCACCGCAUCAGCCUCCCCUACUACUUCCGCAUCGCGGGCACCCUCCUCCGCCAGGCCAAGAUAUAUCGAGAUGAGAAGAACAUCCUCGACCUGUAUGUCAUCCUCCUGAGAUAUACGAGCUUGCUGUGUGAGACCAUCCCCAAGCACCGUGACUACCCCGUAUUCAAGUUGAGGGAAGCAGAGUUCGUCAGAAACGCCAACUCCUCUACACUCAUUGAUGUUGUCAAUGAGCUUGAGUCUCUGAAGCUAGUUGUGAAGCGGCAGCUCGUUGAGCAUAACAGAAGGGGUAGCCCGGAAGCUAAUGGUCUGAAUGGAACCCCUGCUGCAAGUUUAAGGACGGAGAAGCAUCCUCGAACCACAUAUUCCACACAGCCAUUUGUAGGUUCAUUGCAAAAAUUCUACCCAGAUGGGAGGCAUCACGUGGCAUCAUGGACAAGUAUCCAAACUGAUAGGCAGAUCCGCAAACAAUUUGUAAAUCUGCCUUUUCCAAAAGAAGAGACACUGGCUAGACAUUCAAUAUUAGGGCCUAAUGGGCUUCAUGGACAAUGGAAUGGACCUGUUGCUGCAGUCAAGGUCCAAUAUCCAUGCAAUCUUGAAUUUACACAAAGUGAUAUGACAAGUCUAGUGCCGGCUAUGUUGAACCAAGAUGGUCUGCAUGGUCCCAGUACCACACAUCCCGAUAGCACUACAAAAGACAACGAUGAUAUGCAAUCUGUUCUAUCUCUUGAUGAUGGUCGAUGGUCUGCACCAGCAGAAGAAUGCACCUCUACGCCUUCUGCUAGUCUGGAGGGAGAAUUGUCCCAGUUGAAUAUCAGACAGCCUUCACCCCCGCCAAUCCUGGCAGAAGUACAUCCUGAUCGCGCACCCCCAAUUUCUCCAUCAAGAGUUGCUGAUCCAACACAAGGACUUGCUAUAUCAGAAACCGGUCGUUAUCAUAACUUGCAUGUUCCGGUGAAGUUGAUGGAGUGUUUUCUAAGGGUUGCUGAGGCGAACACUAAAAGAAGUUUAGAAACUUGUGGGGUUCUUGCUGGUACCCUGAAAAAGAGAACUUUUCAUAUUACAACCUUAAUAAUUCCAAAGCAGAAAUCUACAUCUGAUUCGUGUGAAGCUACAAAUGAAGAAGAACUAUUUGAAGUUCAGGACAAGGGCUCACUAUUCACCCUUGGUUGGAUUCAUACACAUCCAACGCAGUCCUGUUUCCUGUCCUCUAUUGACCUCCACAAUCAUUAUUCGUACCAGGUCAUGCUACCUGAGGCAAUUGCAAUAGUUAUGGCACCUACUGACACAAGAAAAAAACAUGGUAUAUUUCAUCUAACGGAUCCGGGUGGUAUUGGUGUGAUCCAUGAUUGCCCGGAGAGAGGAUUCCAUCCACAUAAAGCCCCUCUGGAUGGCUCACCAAUCUACGAGCAUUGCUCUCACGUGUACAUGAAUGCUGAUACAAAGUUUGAUAUGAUUGACCUCCGAGAACAGUGA
rnacentral:rRNA from 1 species